rnacentral:rRNA from 1 species
UACGUAGGGGGCAAGCGUUGUCCGGAAUUAUUGGGCGUAAAGCGCGCGCAGGCGGUUAUUUAAGUCUGGUGGUUAAACCUUGGGCUCAACCUGAGGUCGCACUGGAAACUGGGUGACUUGAGUACAGAAGAGGAAAGUGGAAUUCCACGUGUAGCGGUGAAAUGCGUAGAUAUGUGGAGGAACACCAGUGGCGAAGGCGACUUUCUGGGCUGUAACUGACGCUGAGGCGCGAAAGCGUGGGGAGCAAACAGG